rnacentral:lncRNA from 1 species
GUCACUCGGUGUUCUCACCGAAAGCACGUAAUCGCCGGUGUAACUCAUGUUGGCUGGGGGGCCUCCCGGCGCGCCCGAGAGCCUGGGGUGCGCCCCC